rnacentral:lncRNA from 1 species
UUGUAAGGCAGAUUGCUUCCUUGCUGCACGUUUGUGAGCAAGUAAAUUGUUUUUGUUUCUUCCUCCUUUGUUCUCUGUUUUGUUCUUUUUCUAAGAGCUGCUGCCAUUGUUCUUUCUUUUUCUUUUUUCUUCCUGUUAACCGAGAGCUUAUGCUCUUGAUGCUUUGUGUUUCUGCUUGCUGUUUGAAGAGCUUAUGCUCUUAGUGUUUCAUUGUUUGGUUGCUGCUGCCAAAUGUUCCAACAAC